rnacentral:rRNA from 1 species
UACAGAGGUCCCAAGCGUUGUUCGGAUUCACUGGGCGUAAAGGGUGCGUAGGCGGUCGGGUAAGUCUGAUGUGAAAUCUCACAGCUUAACUGUGAAACUGCAUUGGAUACUAUCCGGCUAGAGGAAUGGAGGGGAGACUGGAAUAUUUGGUGUAGCAGUGAAAUGCGUAGAUAUCAAGUGGAACACCAGUGGCGAAGGCGAGUCUCUGGACAUUUCCUGACGCUGAGGCACGAAAGCCAGGGGAGCAAACGGG